rnacentral:rRNA from 1 species
CAGAGACUGCAAGCGUUACUCGGAUUCACGUGGGCGUAAAGGGAGCGCAGGCGGAAUCGUGUGUCGGAUGUGAAACCCGGGGCUCAACUCCCGGACUGCGUCUGAAACUGCGAUUCUAGGGACUCGGAGGGGCUAGUGGAAUUCUUGGUGGAGCAGUGAAAUGCGUAGAUAUCAAGAGGAACACCAACGGCGAAGGCAGCUAGCUGGACGAGAUCCGACGCUCAGGCUCGAAAGUAUGGGGAGCAAAAAGGAUUAGAUACCCUUGUAGUCCAUACUGUAAACGAUGUCGACUAGGUCUUGGGGCAUUCGAACGCCCCAGGGCUCAAGCUAACGCAAUAAGUCGACCGCCUGAGGACUACGGUCGCAAGACUA